UACGUAGGGGGCAAGCGUUGUCCGGAAUCAUUGGGCGUAAAGAGCGCGUAGGCGGUCCGGUAAGUCCGCUCUGAAAGUCCGGGGCUCAACCCCGGGAGGCGGGCGGAUACUGUCGGGCUAGAGUCCGGAAGAGGCGAGUGGAAUUCCUGGUGUAGCGGUGAAAUGCGCAGAUAUCAGGAGGAACACCAAUGGCGAAGGCAGCUCGCUGGGACGGUACUAACGCUGAGGCGCGAAAGCGUGGGGAGCAAACAGG
rnacentral:rRNA from 1 species